CUGUGCAUCUUCAUUUCAGAUGUGCUUGCUCUGGGUAAAGAAGCUAGAGAGGGAAACCAAGGCAGGUCCCCACAUUGGAACCCAACAGCUCCAAGUGGGGGUGAGACCUAUGACAUAGCCCAUCAACAAAGACAGUGGCCAUGGAAAAGGUUUGUCCACAUCUGGGGACGCUUCAAACAGACUAUGGAUAGUGACUGCUAUGACUCAGCAAGGGCAGAGCGCUGGGAGGGGAAAUAUAAGGACGAUGACCAGGCACUCAGAUCCUGCCAUGAGGGGACCCACACAAAUAGCACAGAGAGGGAAGCACAGUAUUGGGCUUGAAAAUGCAGAUUUUGGUUUUGAAUACUAAGUGUUUGUCAUUGAACCCACAGCAACAAAUUACACAACUGAACAGACAGGAAAUGAUAUGGAGCAGGUAGUGAAGAAAGGGGCAGUGACUGCUGGAAAGAGGGUGUCACAAUCUGCCGACCCAGAAACAAGAUGCAGACGGCAGCACUGGAUGCAAAAAUCACGAG